rnacentral:rRNA from 1 species
AGAGUUUGAUCAUGGCUCAGGACGAACGCUGGCGGCGUGCUUAACACAUGCAAGUCGAGCGGAAAGGCCACUUCGGUGGUACUCGAGCGGCGAACGGGUGAGUAACACGUGAGUAAUCUGCCCUUGGCUUUGGGAUAGCCACCGGAAACGGUGAUUAAUACCGGAUACGACCACUUCUCGCAUGGGAUGGUGGUGGAAAGUUUUUCGGCCAGGGAUGUGCUCGCGGCCUAUCAGCUUGAUGGUGAGGUAAUGGCUCACCAUGGCUUCGACGGGUAGCCGGCCUGAGAGGGUGACCGGUCACACUGGGACUGAGACACGGCCCAGACUCCUACGGGAGGCAGCAGUGGGGAAUAUUGGACAAUGGGCGGAAGCCUGAUCCAGCAACGCCGCGUGAGGGAUGACGGCCCUCGGGUUGUAAACCUCUUUCGGUAGGGACGAAGCGCAAGUGACGGUACCUACUAAAGAAGCACCGGCCAACUACGUGCCAGCAGCCGCGGUA